AAGGGGAAAUCAGGAUGCACAGUCAGAUGCUGGAGUUGAUUCAAAAUAUUCUCAUGAAAAUCAUGGAACUAAAGGUGUUUGAAUACUCUGUGAAGCUCUCAUAAUGUAUUACAAGUCAGCCUAGCAAUGUCCUAAAGAGAGUACAGAAGGCAUAUGAUCAGCUGUGUAAUUGUAACUGAAUAAUCCAAACCACUGUGUAUAAAAUGUGCCAAGAGUCCACUCCAAAAUUUAAAGUUAGCUUUGUGCAUUAUGAAGUAAUUAUAUUCAAUCAUACCAGUGUGGCGUUUCUUCAUUUAUUUUGGUGAACUGCUUGAGUUUCCUUUAUCUUCUGAUUAUCAGUACCUUAUCAUCAAGGUUCCCAAACCCUAGGCCAUGGGGUGUACUGUUUGUGACCUGUUGGGAACUGAGCCACACAGCAGGAGCUGUUGGUGUGAUUUAUGGUGCAUUCUUAAGGAAGAGAGAUUUCCUUUUGUGCAUAAUCUAGUGAUUCUUAAUCAUCUGGUUGAUCACUCACAUUUUACUAAUUUAUGGAGUAGAUUGCAUAAUGCUCUCAGUUCCAUAUGCUCCCCUGGCAAUGUGGGCCAGGGGGGCUAGAUACCAGCUGUGUCUUUCAGACCUGAGCACGUGCUUUGCAAUCUGUUUAUAAGACUAGGGCUAGAAUGGCCUUUAAGACACAAAUUGUCUGUCCCUGGAAGAAUAUUCACAAAAUGACUAUCUUAAUGGAACCAGUGUAACCAGCCAGAGCGGGCCUAAUUAGGAAAAACCUAGUGUUGAGUGCUGUUCUGCAAAUUGUUUGAAGGAUAUGUGUGCUGAGAAAGGUGAGUGACCUAAAGUUGACCUCAUGCUUCAGAGAGGGAAUGAAAAUGGCAGCUACAACAGAGAUCAAUCAAGCAUCCGGAUCAUCUGUAUCACUGAAAGUGAAGAGACUAAUAAGGGCAUUGAUAAUCUAUCCCAUUAAAUCCUGGAAGAAAACUUUCCAAACCUAGAGAAGCCCUCAAAUAUCCAGACCCAAGAAAUACAGAAGACCCCACAUACAAUCAACCCAAUAAGAUCUUCCCCAAAGCACAUCAUAGCCAGAUUAACCAAAACCACACACAGAGAUAAGAUACUAAAAUUGGCAAGAGAAAAAUGUCAAGUU